CCCUUAGACGUUCUGGGCCGCACGCGCGCUACACUGACGAAGGCAACGAGCUUUCCUUUACCGAAAGGUACGGGUAAUCUUUUGAAACUUCGUCGUGCUGGGGAUAGAUCCUUGCAAUUUUUGAUCUUAAACGAGGAAUUCCUAGUAAGCGCAAGUCAUCAACUUGCGUUGAUUACGUCCCUGCCCUUUGUACACACCGCCCGUCGCUACUACCGAUUGAAUGGUUUAGUGAGGCCUUCGGAUCCGCGACUCGUUUUGUGGGGAAGUUGGACAAACUCAGUCAUUUAGAGGAAGUAAAAGUCGUAACA
rnacentral:rRNA from 1 species